rnacentral:rRNA from 1 species
CUACGGGUUGCUCCAGUGGGGAAUAUUGCACAAUGGGGGAAACCCUGAUGCAGCAACGCCGCGUGGAGGAUGACACAUUUCGGUGCGUAAACUCCUUUUAUAGGUCAAGAUAAUGACGGUAGCCUAUGAAUAAGCGCCGGCUAACUCCGUGCCAGCAGCCGCGGUAAUACGGAGGGCGCAAGCGUUACUCGGAAUCACUGGGCGUAAAGAGCAUGUAGGCGGGUUAAUAAGUCAGAAGUGAAAUCCAAUAGCUCAACUAUUGAACUGCUUUUGAAACUGUUAACCUAGAGUGUGGGAGAGGUAGAUGGAAUUUCUGGUGUAGGGGUAAAAUCCGUAGAGAUCAGAAGGAAUACCGAUUGCGAAGGCGAUCUACUGGAACAUUACUGACGCUGAGAUGCGAAAGCGUGGGGAGCAAACAGGAUUAGAUACCCCCGUAGUC